rnacentral:rRNA from 1 species
ACAGGCUUAACACAUGCAAGUCGAGGGGCAGCAUGGUCUUAGCUUGCUAAGGCCGAUGGCGACCGGCGCACGGGUGAGUAACACGUAUCCAACCUGCCGUCUACUCUUGGACAGCCUUCUGAAAGGAAGAUUAAUACAAGAUGGCAUCAUGAGUCCGCAUGUUUACAUGAUUAAAGGUAUUCCGGUAGACGAUGGGGAUGCGUUCCAUUAGAUAGUAGGCGGGGUAACGGCCCACCUAGUCUUCGAUGGAUAGGGGUUCUGAGAGGAAGGUCCCCCACAUUGGAACUGAGACACGGUCCAAACUCCUACGAGAGGCAGCAGUGAGGAAUAUUGGUCAAUGGGCGAGAGCCUGAACCAGCCAAGUAGCGUGAAGGAUAACUGCCCUAUGGGUUGUAAACUUCUUUUAUAAAGGAAUAAAGUCGGGUAUGGAUACCCGUUUGCAUGUACUUUAUGAAUAAGGAUCGGCUAACUCCGUGCCAGCAGCCGCGGUAAUACGGAAGAUCCGAGCGUUAUCCGGAUUUAUUGGGUUUAAAGGGAGCGUAGAUGGAUGUUUAAGUCAGUUGUGAAAGUUUGCGGGCUCAACCGUAAAAUUGCAGUUGAUACUGGAUAUCUUGAGUGCAGUUGAGGCAGGCGGAAUUCGUGGUGUAGCGGUGAAAUGCUUAGAUAUCACGAAGAACUCCGAUUGCGAAGGCAGCCUGCUAAGCUGCAACUGACAUUGAGGCUCGAAAGUGUGGGUAUCAAACAGGAUUAGAUACCCUGGUAGUCCACACGGUAAACGAUGGAUACUCGCUGUUUGCGAUAUACUGCAAGCGGCCAAGCGAAAGCGUUAAGUAUUCCACCUGGGGAGUACGCCGGCAACGGUGAAACUCAAAGGAAUUGACGGGGGCCCGCACAAGCGGAGGAACAUGUGGUUUAAUUCGAUGAUACGCGAGGAACCUUACCCGGGCUUAAAUUGCAGAUGAAUUACGGUGAAAGCCGUAAGCCGCAAGGCAUCUGUGAAGGUGCUGCAUGGUUGUCGUCAGCUCGUGCCGUGAGGUGUCGGCUUAAGUGCCAUAACGAGCGCAACCCUUGUUGUCAGUUACUAACAGGUUCCGCUGAGGACUCUGACAAGACUGCCAUCGUAAGAUGUGAGGAAGGUGGGGAUGACGUCAAAUCAGCACGGCCCUUACGUCCGGGGCUACACACGUGUUACAAUGGGGGGUACAGAGGGCCGCUACCACGCGAGUGGAUGCCAAUCCCCAAAACCUCUCUCAGUUCGGACUGGAGUCUGCAACCCGACUCCACGAAGCUGGAUUCGCUAGUAAUCGCGCAUCAGCCACGGCGCGGUGAAUACGUUCCCGGGCCUUGUACACACCGCCCGUCAAGCCAUGGGAGCCGGGGGUACCUGAAGUGCGUAACCGCGAGGAGCGCCCUAGGGUAAAACUGGUGACUGGGGCUAAGUAA